rnacentral:rRNA from 1 species
UAGUUGGUGGGGUAAAGGCCUACCAAGGCGACGAUCAGUAGCGGGUCUGAGAGGAUGAUCCGCCACACUGGAACUGAGACACGGUCCAGACUCCUACGGGAGGCAGCAGUGGGGAAUUUUGGACAAUGGGGGCAACCCUGAUCCAGCCAUUCCGCGUGAGUGAAGAAGGCCUUCGGGUUGUAAAGCUCUUUCAGCUGGAACGAAACGGUACAUCCUAAUACGGUGUGCUAAUGACGGUACCAGCAGAAGAAGCACCGGCUAACUACGUGCCAGCAGCCGCGGUAAUACGUAGGGUGCGAGCGUUAAUCGGAAUUACUGGGCGUAAAGCGUGCGCAGGCGGAUUGUUAAGCAAGAUGUGAAAUCCCCGGGCUUAACCUGGGAAUGGCAUUUUGAACUGGCAGUCUAGAGUGUGUCAGAGGGGGGUGGAAUUCCACGUGUAGCAGUGAAAUGCGUAGAGAUGUGGAGGAACACCAAUGGCGAAGGCAGCCCCAUGGGAUAACACUGACGCUCAUGUACGAAAGCGUGGGUAGCAAACAGGAUUAGAUACCCUGGUAGUCCACGCCCUAAACGAUGUCAACUGGUUGUUGGGGGAGUGAAAUCCCUUAGUAACGAAGCUAACGCGUGAAGUUGACCGCCUGGGGAGUACGGUCGCAAGAUUAAAACUCAAAGGAAUUGACGGGGACCCGCACAAGCGGUAGAUGAUGUGGAUUAAUUCGAUGCAACGCGAAAAACCUUACCUACCCUUGACAUGUCCAGAAUCCUGCAGAGAUGCGGGAGUGCCCGAAAGGGAAUUGGAACACAGGUGCUGCAUGGCUGUCGUCAGCUCGUGUCGUGAGAUGUUGGGUUAAGUCCCGCAACGAGCGCAACCCUUAUCAUUAGUUGCUACGCAAGGGCACUCUAAUGAGACUGCCGG